rnacentral:rRNA from 1 species
UGGGGAAUUUUGCGCAAUGGGGGAAACCCUGACGCAGCAACGCCGCGUGAGUGAUGAAGGCCUUCGGGUUGUAAAGCUCUUUUAGUGGGGAAGAAGCCCUCCGGGGUUAAUACCUCCGGGGUCUGACGGUACCCACAGAAAAAGUUCCGGCUAACUACGUGCCAGCAGCCGAGGUAAUACGUAGGGAGCAAGCGUUGUUCGGAAUUAUUGGGCGUAAAGAGCGCGUAGGCGGUUCGGUAAGUCUGACGUGAAAUCCCGGAGCUUAACUCCGGAACUGCGUUGGAUACUGCCGGGCUUGAGUGUGGGAGAGGAGAGUGGAAUUCCCAGUGUAGAGGUGAAAUUCGUAGAUAUUGGGAGGAACACCCGUGGCGAAGGCGGCUCUCUGGACCACAACUGACGCUGAGGCGCGAAAGCUAGGGGAGCAAACGGGAUUAGAUACCCCGGUAGUCCUAGCCGUAAACGAUGGGCACUAGGUGUUGGAGGUAUCGACCCCUCCAGUGCCGCAGCUAACGCAUUAAGUGCCCCGCCUGGGGAGUACGGUCGCAAGACUA